rnacentral:rRNA from 1 species
GGCGGACGGGUGAGGAGCGCGUAAGGACCUGCCCCUGGGAGGGGGAGUAACAGCUGGAAACGGCUGCUAAUACCCCAUAGCCUGAGGAGGGAAAGGAGAGAUCCGCCCAGGGAGGGGCUUGCGUCUGAUUAGCUGGUUGGGGGGGGUAAUGGCCUCCCAAGGCAACGAUCAGUAGCUGGUCUGAGAGGAUGAUCAGCCACACUGGGACUGAGACACGGCCCAG